UUGGAUAUGUUGAAUGACUUCUUUUUGUUUCAUAUUGCAUCGAUUUAAUUUAUUUUCUUGUCAUAGACAAAACGGGUAACACUGUAGCGUAGUUCGGCCUCCCCGGGCACUAACCACCGUGUCAGCCUGUAAAUAGUCGUAGGGUUAGAGCACUUGCACACGUUGCCAACUGGUGUAUUUCAGGGCCUCCAACCACCACUACCACCACCACCACCACUACCACAACUACCACUACUACUACUAGCACUACCACAACGACCACCUCCGUCCCAGAUUAUGCUGAGGAUGAGGAUGAGGAGGAGGAAGAUGAGGAGGAACCUGUUGAACAGGCUGAUGGUUAUGAUAAUAGCUUUGAGAAUGAGGCCAGCCGGUCCAAAGGCGCGAGGCCCCACGUUGCCGAAAGUGUGUCAGGCGCUGAGGCAGUGAAGUGCAGCUUAGCGGUGAUUGCCCUUCUACACACUCUGCUCCUCUUUCGUCCCUUCCUCCAAUGAACUAGAUGAGGGGUAACUCGUCUGUGAAUGUGCCCCGUCCCUUCCUGCAUCUCUUCACCCCUCGUUUUCGCUUGGUUGGUCCUCCCGUCAAGAGAAGAUAUUUCAUCUGCUACAAGAUUAUACAUUAUAAGACUAUCCGUGUUUACAACUGAAAUAUAUCAUACACAAAUAUAUUUAUAUUGAGUGCAUGAUGCUCGUCUAUGUAAAGACUGUUACUUUACAGUUUUGAUGUUUUAGGCAAAACGGAUUUUCCAGUGUCAUGUCCGAGGUCCGCCGUUCCAGAGAGAGAGGAAAAAGAAGAUUAAAAAUGGUUUUUUUUUUCUCUCUUUUUGCUCUUUUUUUUUUUUAUCUCUUUGGAUUAAGCAAAUCGAGCUCUGGAUUUCAGUCACAGUUCACAUGCUGUUGUAUUUCUCUCUAAGCAUGUACUGUGCGUGACCCUGAAUUCGUUUGUAAACUAAAAUGGAAGAAAAAAUACUAUACAGGAAGAAAUGAAAAAACAAAAAAAAACAGACAUUUCUAUUCUUUAUGGAUUUUUUUUUUUUUUUUUUAAUGUUGCAAUGUAAUGUAGCACAUUUGUUUUUACUCUAAGACUGAGAAUAAGGUUGAAACUUUGAGUGUUUUCAAUGAGCGUAGUUGCACUUAUUUUGCACUCAGUGUGGUUUCGAAGAGGAAGGAAAAUACGUCCUGCUAUUCAUUUGUGAAACGAAGAGUGUUGGAAAUCGUGUUGGAAUGAAUAACCCCCAUGUGAUUUUAGUCAUUUUUUUAAGAUAUAUUUUAUUUGUUUUUUGGUUCAACCGCUAGUCACCUGACAGCUAAAAGGUUUUUUGACGGAAAAGAUCGGCGAUUUUGGACAGUGCCAGAAUCCCCCCCUUCCAUGUCAUAUUUUUUCCAUGUAGGCCUACUUGGUUUGGCUUGUAAACACCCCACUACAAGCGAUACACAGCCAAGGUCAAAGGUCACAGGAACCUUGCAACUGGUCGGUAUACAUGUGCACCUUGUGUUCCCACUGUUCAGCAUGUUCUUCGGCGCAAACCAAAAAGCACACAUACUUUAAACAGCCAGUAUUUGUUAAUUAUGUUCUUCCUUUUCCCUAAGAUAAUUUCUAUUUUCUGCUUUCUUUUGACCAGCUGGUUAAACCAAACCCAGCUGGUGAAUGAGCGACUUUUUGUUUAUAGUUUUUCUUUUUUUUAAAUUAAGUUUCCGUUUUCUUAACGAAGGUUCCUCGUUUUCCGUUGUGGGAUUGGCAACUUUAAUCGCUUCCGCUACCGUGAUUGGUGAUUGGUGAUUGAUGCAGAUCAUGGGUCUGACUUGAUCAAAUGUCUCAGGGUAAGGUGAGAAGAAGAAUCUUAUAUAAGGCCAUUACUAAGAGGAAAUACAUAAUUUCCUCUUUCAGAAAUCAAAUCAAAAUUCCUCCAUCAUACAUUUGGAACGAAGUUAUGCGCGAUGACACCCCCCGCCCCCCUUAUAACGACGAACUAGCAAGCCGAAAUUGCCAAGGGCUUCGGG